CCCAGACUCCUACGGGAGGCAGCAGUGGGGGAUAUUGCACAAUGGGGGGAACCCUGAUGCAGCGACGCCGCGUGGGUGAAGGAGCGUUUCGGCGCGUAAAGCCCUAUCGGCAGGGAAGAAGGAGGACGGUACCUGACUAAGAAGCCCCGGCUAACUACGUGCCAGCAGCCGCGGUAAUACGUAGGGGGCAAGCGUUAUCCGGAUUUACUGGGUGUAAAGGGGGCGCAGACGGCAGCGCAAGCCAGGAGUGAAAGCCCGGGGCCCAACCCCGGGACUGCUCUUGGAACUGCGCGGCUGGAGUGCAGGAGGGGCAGGCGGAAUUCCUGGUGUAGCGGCGAAAUGCGUAGAUAUCAGGAGGAACACCGGUGGCGAAGGCGGCCUGCUGGACUGCGACUGACGUUGAGGCCCGAAAGCGUGGGGAGCAAACAGGAUUAGAUACCCCCGUAGC
rnacentral:rRNA from 1 species